GAUGAAGAACGCAGCGAAAUGCGAUACGUAAUGUGAAUUGCAGAAUUCAGUGAAUCAUCGAAUCUUUGAACGCAUAUUGCGCUCUCUGGUAUUCCGGAGAGCAUGCUUGUUUGAGUAUCAGUAAACACCUCAACUUCCAUAUCUUUUUUUGAAAUGGGAGUUGGACUUGAGUGAUCCCAACGCUUUUCCUCACCGAAAAGUGGCGGGUUACUUGAAAUGCAGGUGCAGCUGGACUUUUCUCUGAGCUAUAAGCAUAUCUAUUUAGUCUGCCUAAAAAACAGAUUAUUACCUUUGCUGCAGCUAACAUAAAGGAGAUUAGUUCUUGUGCUGACUGAUGCAGGAUUCACAAAGACAGCUUCGGCCGACUUUGUAAACUCGAUCUCAAAUCAAGUAAGACUACCCGCUGAACUUUAGCAUAUCAAUAAGCGGAGGA
rnacentral:misc_RNA from 1 species